rnacentral:rRNA from 1 species
UGAGGAAUUAUGCGCAAUGGACGAAAGUCUGACGCUGCGACGUCGCGUGGGUGGUGAAGGUCUUCGGAUCGUAAAACCCUGUCGAGAGGGAAGAAAGAGCGGGCGCUAAUAUCGCCUACUUCUGACGGUACCUCUGGAGGAAGCCCCGGCUAACUCUGUGCCAGCAGCCGCGGUAAUACAGAGGGGGCAAGCGUUGUUCGGAAUUACUGGGCGUAAAGCGCGUGUAGGCGGGUCGUUAAGUUGGGGGUGAAAUCCCGAGGCUCAACCUCGGAACUGCCUUCAAAACUGGCGACCUGGACUCAAGCAGAGGCAAGUGGAAUUGCGAGUGUAGAGGUGAAAUUCGUAGAUAUUCGCAGGAACACCAGUGGCGAAGGCGACUUGCUGGGCUUGUAGUGACGCUGAGACGCGAAAGCGUGGGGAGCAAACAGGAUUAGAUACCCCCGUAGUCCCUGAGCGGGCUGGCAAGGCGCAU